UCCGGUUUGUCACCGGCAGUCUCGCAUGAGUCCCCGGCUUUACCCGCUGGCAACAUGCGACGGGGGUUGCGCUCGUUGCGAGACUUAACCCAGCAUCUCACGACACGAGCUGACGACAGCCAUGCACCACCUGUGAUCGCGUCCCGAAGGAAAGGUGUGUUUCCACACCGGUCGCGAACAUGUCAAGCCCAGGUAAGGUUCUUCGCGUUGCGUCGAAUUAAACCACAUGCUCCGCUGCUUGUGCGGGCCCCCGUCGAUUCCUUUGAGUUUCAAUCUUGCGAUCGUACUUCCCAGGUGGGAUACUUAAUGCUUUCGCUCAGACACACACUGUGUAUCGCGUAUGUCGAGUAUCCAUAGUUUAGGGCGUGGACUAC
rnacentral:misc_RNA from 1 species